rnacentral:rRNA from 1 species
UACGUAGGGGGCAAGCGUUGUCCGGAUUUACUGGGCGUAAAGAGCGUGUAGGCGGCCACGCAGGUCCGUUGUGAAAACUGGAGGCUCAACUUCCAGCCGUCGACGGAAACCGUGUGGCUAGAGUCCGGAAGAGGAGAGUGGAAUUCCUGGUGUAGCGGUGGAAUGCGCAGAUAUCAGGAGGAACACCAAUAGCGAAGGCAGCUCGCUGGGACGGUACUGACGCUAAGGCGCGAAAGCGUGGGGAGCGAACAGG